rnacentral:rRNA from 1 species
GAUGAACGCUGGCGGCGUGCCUAAUACAUGCCAGUCGAACGAAACUUCUUUAUCACCGAGUGCUUGCACUCACCGAUAAAGAGUUGAGUGGCGAACGGGUGAGUAACACGUGGGCAACCUGCCCAAAAGAGGGGGAUAACACUUGGAAACAGGUGCUAAUACCGCAUAACCAUAGUUACCGCAUGGUAACUAUGUAAAAGGUGGCUAUACUACCGCUUUUGGAUGGGCCCGCGGCGCAUUAGCUAGUUGGUAGGGUAAAGGCUUACCAAGGCAAUGAUGCGUAGCCGGAUUGAGAGGUUGAUCGGCCACAUUGGGACUGAGACACGGCCCAAACUCCUACGGGAGGCAGCAGUAGGGAAUCUUCCACAAUGGGCGAAAGCCUGAUGGAGCAACGCCGCGUGGGUGAAGAAGGUCUUCGGAUCGUAAAACCCUGUUGUUAGAGAAGAAAGUGCGUGAGAGUAACUGUUCACGUUUCGACGGUAUCUAACCAGAAAGCCACGGCUAACUACGUG